UACGAAGGGGGCUAGCGUUGCUCGGAAUCACUGGGCGUAAAGGGUGCGUAGGCGGGUCUUUAAGUCAGAGGUGAAAUCCUGGAGCUCAACUCCAGAACUGCCUUUGAUACUGAGGAUCUUGAGUUCGGGAGAGGUGAGUGGAACUGCGAGUGUAGAGGUGAAAUUCGUAGAUAUUCGCAAGAACACCAGUGGCGAAGGCGGCUCACUGGCCCGAUACUGACGCUGAGGCACGAAAGCGGGGGGAGCAAACAGG
rnacentral:rRNA from 1 species